UCCCGUGGGCAGUAGGAUUGGGCUGCAUGCAGUCAUAACCGUUGCCAGGAGAAAACGCAGCUCUGACCCCCUCUGAGCCUCACGCACCCACCCCCAUUCCCCUCUUCAGCACCAGCCACGUCGGUAUUUCCUGGGUUCGGCUACGGAUCCGCAAAGCCUAGCAGCCCCUCUGUUCGCAGAGUCGUGGGCGUCCUGAAGGGGCGUAAGACAUGGCCUUUGAUUCUCGGGCUGAGGCUGGCUAUUUCAGAAACAAGUGGUUCUGCAGAUGCUUUAUUGGAAUAAUCUGUGUGGUGCCCCUUGACAGUGGAGAUGACUCAUGUUAGCUUUUUUUUUUCCCUUCAAAUAAACUUUGUAUUCAAGACACAAGCUUGCCAGGUCAUUUGCAACAGUCAUAGAGCUGGAGACCCACACUGCAGGCCUUGAGACCUUGUGCUAGUCCUAGAUGUAUUAGCAAGGAUUAUGGCCUCCAAUAAUGGCAUCAUCGACUUGAUGGACAUGAGUUUGAGUAAGCUCCGGGAGUUGGUGAUGGACAGGGAAGCCUGGUGUGCUGCAGUCCAUGGGGUGCAAAGAGUCGGACACGACUGAACGACUGAACUGAUGGCCUCCAGUGCAUCACUUCCCCUGUUUGGAACUCAGUUUCUUUAUCUGCGAAAUGCGGUAUACAGAAUGAGCUAGGCAGUCUUAGGUGCCAGGAGUAGCUGUUUAAGGGAACCUGACAUCUUUUUCCUUGUGAAUCUAGAUCAGCCACACAAAGUCCACCUCAGCCUAUUAUAAAGAAAUUAGGGUGGACUUAACAAAGCUCAGAAGCAAGAGAGGCUGCAUAAGGUAAAACAGAACUGAAAACUAACAAUAAUUGGUACUGGAUUUUCAGUCUGGGUACUGUUCUUAUGUGGACAGUUAGCGUAUUGCCUGUUCAGCUAUCAUUACCAUAAAGUUGUUAACUGUGCUUUAAAAAAUUAUGUACGUCUCAUCUGUGGACCUGAAUUUUUUCUUUUGUUUGAACCUUCAAGCCUGGAGUGGAUGUGCAGUGGAUCCACUUGGAGCAGCCUUACUCGAAGAAUAAUACCCUCAGGAUCUCCCCUUGCUGUGGGAAUAAUCCAAGGCACCUUUCCGGGAAGUCAGUUUGCUGAAACUACUGAAGCAGCAGUUCUUGGAAGUUGAAGAAAAGGAGAUCCGGCGCCUUGACCCGAGGGGCGUGGCCCUCCCAUCGGAACCGGCUCCAGACGCGC
rnacentral:lncRNA from 1 species